UACGAAGGGGACUAGCGUUGUUCGGAAUUACUGGGCGUAAAGAGCGCGCAGGCGGUCGAUCAAGUCGCGUGUGAAAGCCCCCGGCUCAACUGGGGAGGGUCACGCGAUACUGAUCGACUCGAAGGCAGGAGAGGGUAGUGGAAUUCCCGGUGUAGUGGUGAAAUGCGUAGAUAUCGAGAGGAACACCUGCGGCGAAGGCGGGUUGCUGGGCCGACACUGACGCUGAAGUGCGAAAGCUAGGGGAGCGAACGGG
rnacentral:rRNA from 1 species